rnacentral:rRNA from 1 species
GGAUGAACGUUGGCGGCGUGCCUAAUACAUGCAAGUCGAACGGAGAUUGUAGCAAUACGGUCUCAGUGGCGAACGGGUGAGUAACGCGUUGGUGACCUGCCCCGAAGUGUGGAAUAACAGAUCGAAAGAGCUGCUAAUACCGCAUAAUAUCCAGGAGAUUAGAUGCUUCUGGAUUAAAGGAUUUAUCCGCUUCGGGAGGGGCCUGCGUCCCAUCAGCUAGUUGGUAAGGUAAAGGCUUACCAAGGCGAUGACGGGUAGGGGACCUGAGAGGGUGGCCCCCCACAAUGGAACUGAAACACGGUCCAUACACCUACGGGUGGCAGCAGUAGGGAAUAUUAGUAAUGGGCGAAAGCCUGAACUAGCAACGCCGCGUGUGCGAAGAAGGCCUUCGGGUUGUAAAGCACUUUUUGAGAGGAUGAGGAAGGACGGUACUCUCAGAAUAAGUCUCGGCUAACUACGUGCCAGCAGCCGCGGUAACACGUAGGAGGCGAACGUUAUCCGGAUUUACUGGGCGUAAAGCGCGUGUAGGUGGUUUGGUAAGUAGGGCGUGAAAGCUCCUGGCUCAACUGGGAGAGGCCGUUCUAAACUGCCGAACUAGAGGAUGGUAGAGGGAGGUGGAAUUCCGGGUGUAGCGGUGGAAUGCGCAGAUAUCCGGAGGAACACCAGUGGCGAAAGCGGCCUCCUGGACCAUUCCUGACACUCAGACGCGAAAGCUAGGGUAGCAAACGGGAUUAGAGACCCCGGUAGUCCUAGCCCUAAACGAUGUAGACUAGGCGUCGGUGGUUUAAACGCCAUCGGUGUCCAAGCUAACGCGAUAAGUCUACCGCCUGGGGACUACGGCCGCAAGGUUAAAACUCAAAGGAAUUGACGGGUCCCCGCACAAGCAGCGGAGCGUGUGGUUUAAUAGGAUGAUACGCCAAGAACCUUACCAGGGCUUGACAUGACGGGGACAGCCUGUGAAAGCAGGUCUCCUGGGUAACCAGGUCCCGCCACAGAUGGUGCAUGGUUGUCGUCAGCUCGUGCCGUGAGGUGUUGGGUUAAGUCCCGCAACGAGCGCAACCCUCGCCAGAUGUUGCCAUCGGGUCUUCGGAUGCCGGGCACUCUUCUGGGACUGCCUGAGUAAUCAGGAGGAAGGAGAGGACGACGUCAAAUCUGCAUGCCUCUUACGCCCUGGGCUGCACGCGUGCUACAAUGGCGAGUACAAAGGGUAGCGAAGCCGCGAGGUGGAGCCAAUCCCCCAAAACUCGUCCCAGUUCGGAUCGGACGUCUGCAACCCGACUCCGUGAAGGCGGAAUCGCUAGUAACCGUGGAUCAGCAAUGCCGCGGUGAAUACGUUCCCGGGCCU